UGGGGAAUUUUGGACAAUUGGGCGAAAGCCUGAUCCAGCAAUGCCGCGUGUGUGAAGAAGGCCUUCGGGUUGUAAAGCACUUUUGUCCGGAAAGAAAUCCUUGGCUCUAAUACAGUCGGGGGAUGACGGUACCGGAAGAAUAAGCACCGGCUAACUACGUGCCAGCAGCCGCGGUAAUACGUAGGGUGCAAGCGUUAAUCGGAAUUACUGGGCGUAAAGCGUGCGCAGGCGGUUUGCUAAGACCGAUGUGAAAUCCCCGGGCUCAACCUGGGAACUGCAUUGGUGACUGGCAGGCUAGAGUAUGGCAGAGGGGGGUAGAAUUCCACGUGUAGCAGUGAAAUGCGUAGAGAUGUGGAGGAAUACCGAUGGCGAAGGCAGCCCCCUGGGCCAAGUACUGACGCUCAUGCACGAAAGCGUGGGGGAGCAAACAGGAUU
rnacentral:rRNA from 1 species